rnacentral:rRNA from 1 species
UACGUAGGGUCCAAGCGUUAUCCGGAAUCACUGGGCGUAAAGCGUACGUAGGUGGCGUGUUAAGUGAGAUGUUAAAUCGUGUGGCUCAACCAUACGUUGUGUCUCAUACUGGCAUGCUAGAGGACGGCAGAGGCAAAGUGGAAUUACGAGUGUAGCAGUGAAAUGCGUAGAGAUCGGGGAGGAACAUCAGUGGCGAAAGGCGGCCAUCUGGGACAACACUGACGCUGAAGCACGAAAAGCGUGGGGGAGCAAACAGG